GAAGGUGUGCUGUGAGGCAUGCUGGAGGUAUCAGAAGUGCGAAUGCUGACAUAAGUAACGAUAAAGCGGGUGAAAAGCCCGCUCGCCGGAAGACCAAGGGUUCCUGUCCAACGUUAAUCGGGGCAGGGUGAGUCGACCCCUAAGGCGAGGCCGAAAGGCGUAGUCGAUGGGAAACAGGUUAAUAUUCCUGUACUUGGUGUUACUGCGAAGGGGG
rnacentral:rRNA from 1 species